rnacentral:rRNA from 1 species
CACGAACGCUGGCGGCAGGCCUAACACAUGCAAGUCGAGCGCGCCCUUCGGGGUGAGUGGCGGACGGGUGAGUAACGCGUGGGAACGUGCCCUUUUCUACGGAAUAGCCUCGGGAAACUGAGCGUAAUACCGUAUACGCCCUUCGGGGGAAAGAUUUAUCGGAAAAGGCUCGGCCCGCGUUGGAUUAGGUAGUUGGUGGGGUAAUGGCCUACCAAGCCGACGAUCCAUAGCUGGUUUGAGAGGAUGAUCAGCCACACUGGGACUGAGACACGGCCCAGACUCCUACGGGAGGCAGCAGUGGGGAAUCUUAGACUAUGGGGGCAACCCUGAUCUAGCCAUGCCGCGUGAGUGAUGAAGGCCUUAGGGGUGUAAAGCUCGUUCAGCUGGGAAGAUAAUGACGGUACCAGCAGAAGAAGCCACGGCUAACUCCGUG